AACGAACGCUGGCGGCAUGCCUAACACAUGCAAGUCGAACGAGACCUUCGGGUCUAGUGGCGCACGGGUGCGUAACGCGUGGGAAUCUGCCCUUGGGUACGGAAUAACAGUUAGAAAUGACUACUAAUACCGUAUAAUGACUUCGGUCCAAAGAUUUAUCGCCCAGGGAUGAGCCCGCGUAGGAUUAGCUUGUUGGUGAGGUAAAGGCUCACCAAGGCGACGAUCCUUAGCUGGCCUGAGAGGAUGAUCAGCCACACUGGGACUGAGACACGGCCCAGACUCCUACGGGAGGCAGCAGUGGGGAAUAUUGGACAAUGGGCGCAAGCCUGAUCCAGCAAUGCCGCGUGAGUGAUGAAGGCCUUAGGGUUGUAAAGCUCUUUUACCCGGGAAGAUAAUGACUGUACCGGGAGAAUAAGCCCCGGCUAACUCCGUGCCAGCAGCCGCCGUAA
rnacentral:rRNA from 1 species